rnacentral:rRNA from 1 species
GACGAACGCUGGCGGCGUGCUUAACACAUGCAAGUCGAACGAAGUGGCGAACGGGUGAGUAACGCGUAAUCAACCUGCCCUUCAGAGGGGUACAACAGUUGGAAACGACUGCUUAUACCGCAUACUGAAGGAGGGGAUUGCGUCGGAUUAGCUAGCUGGAGGGGUAACGGCCCCCCAAGGCGAUGAGCAGGAGCCGAUCGGGGAGGAUGAACGGCCAAAUUGGGACUGGGACACGGCCCAGAAUCCUACGGGAGGCAGCAGUGGGGAAUCUUCCGCAAUGGACGAAAGUCUGACGGAGCAAAGCCGCGUGAGUGAUGACGGCCUUCGGGUUGUAAAGCUCUGUUAAUCGGGACGCGGUACCGGAAUAGAAAGCCACGGCUAACUACGUGCCAGCAGCCGCGGUAAUAC